rfam:Rhizopogon vinicolor AM-OR11-026 unplaced genomic scaffold K503scaffold_283, whole genome shotgun sequence.
GGCCGGUCUAAUGAUUAAGACGUCCCCACUGGAGUUGGGAAGGCCUGGGUUCAAUCCCUAGUCCAGCCA